UGUGGCUGUGACGACUUGGAAAUAUUCAAGCUCAACAGACCAAAUCACAUGUCUAUCUCUAUAGAAGAGAUUGAUCUGUAUGCCGACUAUCCAUUUGAACCGAGCCAUA
rfam:Zea mays cultivar B73 chromosome 5, whole genome shotgun sequence.